UUUCCGUAGGUGAACCUGCGGAAGGAUCAUUAUUGUAUAACCGAGGUGCGAGGGCUGUCGCUGACCCGAAAGGUCGUGCACGCCCGAGUGCCCUCACACACGUCCCUCUCACCCCUAUGUGCACCACCGCGUGGGUCCCCCUUUGGCUUGUUCGGAGGGGGGCUUACGUUUUCACACAAACUUUGUAUGCAGUGUAGAAUGUAUUUUUUGUUUUUGCGAUCACGCAAUCAAUACAACUUUCAACAACGGAUCUCUUGGCUCUC
rnacentral:misc_RNA from 1 species